rnacentral:snRNA from 1 species
AGCUUUGCGCAGUAGCAGUAUCGUAGCCAAUGAGGUUUAUCAGAGGCGGGAUUAUUGCUAAUUGAAAAUGUUUGCCUUUCCAUUCUGAAAGAUAGCUUUGCUUGAUACAGUGAUCUAAAUUUUCUUCAUAUGGGUUGAAG